AUUGUUUUCUUGCUUGGCUUUUUGAUAGGAUUUGCUUCUUCCCUCUACUUGGAGCCAUUUUUUGUCUUCUCAAGUCAACUGCAUCUGAUGAUGUAGUGAGACUCUGCCCAGGUUCUGGUGGUAUAAUUGGUGGUUGAUCACUCUUGGGCCAACAACUGUUGUCUUGAGUUGGGUUCAAGAUGUGGCUAUAAGUUGCUAAGAAGCUUGUAUAAUGGCAGCAAGCUUCCAUGAAGGAUCUGCUCUAAAU